AAUCGUGUUUUUUUUUUUUUUUUUUUGGUGGGGAGCAUAUUUAAACUACUCCAACCGAACUUUACGACCCCCCUCCUAACCAAGGGGGGCUGUGCCCCCCUGGACCCCCCCCCCAUGUAGGGAAUUUUCCUUAAUUUAGGCAUUUUUCUAGGGAAAUUUUGGAAGCAGGGGGGGCCCAGGGGGGGGUCGUAAAGUUCGGUUGGAGUAGUUUAAAUUUUGGAAGCCCAUUUUUCAGUGAUUUUGGCUUCCCCCCCAAACCCCGGUUCCCCACAGUUCCCCAGGCUUGUCUUGGGGGGUAGGGGGUUCUGGAGUGGCGAAGGGGGAGACGGACUUCUUAUAAAGUAUUACCAGAAAAGCAAAGUCAAAGGAAGAAAAGAGCAGAAAAUCACAUCAGUUCAGGGUGAAGCAUAUAAGUGUGCACUGUGAAAUAACUGUGUGCUGUGAAGUAUAGAUGUCUUGAGAAGGAGGACCUAAGAAGCAAUAAAAAGCAGAACAUGUCAAAAGAAGAAGUGUGACAUUUGGGAAAUCAGGUUGAUAUUUGAAGCUUUGGCCACUAUCUCAUCUCACUGACCUGAAGCUUAAAUACUAUCUGCAGCAGUUCAUAACGAAAGGAAACCCCCCAAUGAUACUUGUAAAAUGUACUGGAACGGCUGAAAAUGGAAAAUUAGUCCCCUAAAAACCCCCAAAAGACCCUUCAUUAAUUUCCCAAGGUAAUUAAUUUUGCCAAAUGGAAAACUAGCCCCCUAAAAAAACUAAAAGACCCUUCAUUAAUUUCCCAAGGUAAUUAAUUUCGCCCUAACAUGGAUGACUGAUGUAAUAUUCUGGGACGAGUGAAAAUGAAUGACUAGUCCCCUGAAAACCCCCAAAAGACCCUUCAUUAAUUUCCCAAGGUAAUUAAUUUCGCCCUAA